rnacentral:rRNA from 1 species
UACAGAGGUCUCAAGCGUUGUUCGGAUUCAUUGGGCGUAAAGGGUGUGUAGGUGGCGCGCUAAGUCGGGGUGUGAAAAUUUCGGAGCUUAACUCCGAAACUGCAUUCGAUACUGGCGUGCUUGAGGACUGGAGAGGAGACUGGAAUUCAUGGUGUAGCAGUGAAAUGCGUAGAGAUCAUGAGGAAGACCAGUGGCGAAGGCGGGUCUCUGGACAGUUCCUGACAGCUGAGACACGAAAGCCAGGGGAGCAAACGGG